rnacentral:rRNA from 1 species
GACGUAGGGCGCGAGCGUUGUCCGGAUUUAUUGGGCGUAAAGAGCUCGUAGGCGGUCUGUCGCGUCGGCUGUGAAAACCCGGAGCUCAACUCCGGGCCUGCAGUCGAUACGGGCAGACUGGAGUUCGGCAGGGGAGACUGGAAUUCCUGGUGUAGCGGUGAAAUGCGUAGAUAUCAGGAGGAACACCGAUGGCGAAGGCAGGUCUCUGGGCUGACACGUGACGCUCAUGCACGAAAGCGUGGGGAGCAAACAGG